AACGAACGCUGGCGGCAUGCCUAACACAUGCAGGUCGAACGAGACCUUCGGGUCUAGUGGCGCACGGGUGCGUAACACGUGGGAAUCUGCCCUUUGCUUCGGAAUAACAGUUAGAAAUGACUGCUAAUACCGGAUGAUGUCGAAAGACCAAAGAUUUAUCGGCAAAGGAUGAGCCCGCGUAGGAUUAGGUAGUUGGUGGGGUAAAGGCCUACCAAGCCGACGAUCCUUAGCUGGUCUGAGAGGAUGAUCAGCCACACUGGGACUGAGACACGGCCCAGACUCCUACGGGAGGCAGCAGUGGGGAAUAUUGGACAAUGGGCGAAAGCCUGAUCCAGCAAUGCCGCGUGAGUGAUGAAGGCCUUAGGGUUGUAAAGCUCUUUUACCAGGGAUGAUAAUGACAGUACCUGGAGAAUAAGCUCCGGCUAACUCCGUG
rnacentral:rRNA from 1 species